UACGGAGGGUGCAAGCGUUGUCCGGAUUUAUUGGGUUUAAAGGGUGCGUAGGUGGGGUCUCAAGUCUGGUUUGAAAGUUAGCGGCUCAACAGUUAGACGUGGGUGGAAACUGGGGUUCUGGAAUGGGCUGGCGGCUGCCGGAACGGGUGAUGUAGCGGUGAAAUGCAUAGAUAUGACGAAGAACACCGAUUGCGAAGGCAGGCAGCUACGGCAUGAUUGACACUGAGGCACGAGAGCAUGGGUAGCGAACAGG
rnacentral:rRNA from 1 species